CCUACGGGAGGCAGCAGUGAGGAAUAUUGGUCAAUGGACGAGAGUCUGAACCAGCCAAGUCGCGUGAAGGAUGACUGUCCUAUGGGUUGUAAACUUCUUUUAUAUGGGAGUAAAAUGUUCCACGUGUGGGAUUUUGUAUGUACCAUAUGAAUAAGGAUCGGCUAACUCCGUGCCAGCAGCCGCGGUAAUACGGAGGAUCCGAGCGUUAUCCGGAUUUAUUGGGUUUAAAGGGAGCGUAGGUGGAUUGUUAAGUCAGUUGUGAAAGUUUGCGGCUCAACCGUAAAAUUGCAGUUGAAACUGGCAGUCUUGAGUACAGUAGAGGUGAGCGGAAUGCGUGGUGUAGCGGUGAAAUGCUUAGAUAUCACGAAGAACUCCUAUUGCGAAGGCAGCUCACUGGACAGUAACUGACGUUGAGGCUCGAAAGCGUGGGGAGCAAACAGGAUUAGAUACCCGGGUAGUC
rnacentral:rRNA from 1 species